GGCGAACGGGUGAGUAAUGCAUCGGAACGUACCUUUCAGUGGGGGAUAACGUAGCGAAAGUUACGCUAAUACCGCAUAUUCUGUGAGCAGGAAAGCAGGGGAUCGCAAGACCUUGCGCUGAUUGAGCGGCCGAUAUCAGAUUAGCUAGUUGGUGGGGUAAAAGCUCACCAAGGCGACGAUCUGUAGCGGGUCUGAGAGGAUGAUCCGCCACACUGGAACUGAGACACGGUCCAGACUCCUACGGGAGGCAGCAGUGGGGAAUUUUGGACAAUGGACGCAAGUCUGAUCCAGCCAUUCCGCGUGCAGGAUGAAGGCCCUCGGGUUGUAAACUGCUUUUGUACGGAACGAAAAGGUUUCCAUUAAUACUGGGAGCUCAUGACGGUACCGUAAGAAUAAGCACCGGCUAACUACGUGCCAGCAGCCGCGGUAAUACGUAGGGUGCAAGCGUUAAUCGGAAUUACUGGGCGUAAAGCGUGCGCAGGCGGUUAUGUAAGACAGAGGUGAAAUCCCCGGGCUCAACCUGGGAACUGCCUUUGUGACUGCAUAGCUAGAGUACGGUAGAGGGGGAUGGAAUUCCGCGUGUAGCAGUGAAAUGCGUAGAUAUGCGGAGGAACACCGAUGGCGAAGGCAAUCCCCUGGACCUGUACUGACGCUCAUGCACGAAAGCGUGGGGAGCAAACAGGAUUAGAUACCCUGGUAGUCCACGCCCUAAACGAUGUCAACUGGUUGUUGGGUCUUCACUGACUCAGUAACGAAGCUAACGCGUGAAGUUGACCGCCUGGGGAGUACGGCCGCAAGGUUGAAACUCAAAGGAAUUGACGGGGACUGCACAGCGUUGGAUGGAUUGUGUUUAAUUCGAUGCAACGCGAAAAACCUUACCCACCUUUGAAAUUUACGAAGUCGCUAAAAGAUAGCUUCGUGCUCGAAAGAAAAGCGUAACACAGUGCUGCAUGCUUGUCGUCAGCUCUGUCUGAGAAUGUUUGGGUUAAGUUCCCGCAACGAGCGCAAACCCUUGUCAUUAAUUGCUACAUUCAAUUGGGCACUCUAAU
rnacentral:rRNA from 1 species